rnacentral:rRNA from 1 species
GCGGGUGCGUGCCGCGGGGGAAUCUGCCCCUUGGUUCGGAAUAACACUUGGAAACGACCGCUAAUACCGGAUGAUGACAGCGGUCCAAAGAUUUAACGCCGAGGGAUGAGCCCGCGUAAGAUUGGCUAGGUGGUGUGGUAAAGGCGCACCAUGGCAACAAUCUUUAACUGGUCUGAGAGGAUGAUCAGCCACACUGGGACUGAGACACGGCCGCAACUCCUACGGGAGGCAGCAGUGGGGAAUAUUGUACAAUGGGCGAAAGCCUGAUCCAGCAAUGCCGCGUGAGUGAUGAAGGCCUUAGGGUUGUAAAGCUCUUUUACCCGGGAUGAUAAUGACAGUACCGGGAGAAUAAGCUCCGGCUAACUCCGUGCCAGCAGCCGCGGUAAUACGGAGGGAGCUAGCGUUAUUCGGAAUUACUGGGCGUAAAGCGCACGUACGCGGCUUUGUAAGUUAGAGGUGAAAGCCUGGAGCUCAACUCCUGAAUUGCCUUUAAGACUGCAUCGCUUGAAUCCAGGAGAGGUGAGUGGAAUUCCGAGUGUAGAGGUGAAAUUCGUAGA